rnacentral:ncRNA from 1 species
CAACUUGAGAGUUUGAUCCUGGCUCAGAACGAACGCUGGCGGCAGGCCUAACACAUGCAAGUCGAGCGGGCCCUUCGGGGUCAGCGGCGGACGGGUGAGUAACGCGUGGGAACGUGCCUUUCGGUUCGGAAUAGCCCCGGGAAACUGGGAUUAACGCCGGAUACGCCCUUCGGGGGAAAGAUUUAUCGCCGAGAGAUC